UAAUUGCAUAUGUAGCUAAAAUGCACACUGAGCAGCCAGAACAGACAAAUACCAAUAUUUAAGAUAUUUCACUUUUUUUAAAUCACAAGGUCAUGAACUUGCAUUUUGUUUUUGUUUCUUUUUCCCCAGGAAAUUGGACAGGAGGCUGGCUGAAAGUGUACCAGUGCUCUACAGGGAUUUCUUGUGCCUUUUCAAGGAAGGAUUUGCUGUGUUCUAGAAUGUUGAUAAGAGCUAUCAAAUGACAUCUUUGUGAAGAACAUGCCAGACCCUCUGCACGUUGAAAAAAGUCCAAAAAGCAGCAGCAUUAAUUCCUUGCACGCUUCUAAAAAAUAAAGUAGCGCAAGAAGAGAGCAUUCACCUUGCAAAUGGCAGGAUUCCAGGAAAGAAGGAGGGAAAAAAAGGGAAAAUUUGGGCAGAGGUUUGCGUGGCUGCCUGCAGACAAGGCGCCCCCCUGGCCUGCUGCCUGCUCCCGGCCUGCCAGCGGAAGUUUUGCCCUCGCCUUGGCAGCAGUGCCCUGGAAUGCUGCUCGGCUUCGUGCCGCCGAUCCCGGUGGGGAAGGCAAGGAGGGCUGUCCUGCAUGGAAAAGCACCCCCAUGGGAGCUGCCUGCCAAGCAGUGCCCACACCCCCAGGUACCACCUCAGCCCCUGAUUUUACCACUUGGAUGAGGACAAGUGAGUCCAGUCCCUGAGUUUGUAAGGAGUUGGGUUGUAAAUCCUCCUUGGUGCAGCCUGCUAAGUUAUUGAGUGCUUCCGCUCACCUCGGCAGCUUCACGACUCCUACAGAUACAUGGAAAAUUUAGAAUAACAGAGCUAUUUCACAUGGCAACAACGACCUGGAAGGAUCUGACUGGUGCAGUUCCUACAAAUCAAUCUGGUGUGAGCUUCUAAGCCAAUGGGCUGGUCCCCAGUGAGCGACCAACAUCUCGUCCUGGGCGUGUUAACAGCAAAGCUCGAAAUAAUGGUGACUUCUGGAAACCAAUUUUGAUAACCAGACUCUAUUUGUAAGGUAUUUAGAGCUAAUAAAGCUACUGUGGUCUUGGGAGUGCCCUUUUCCUUGA